UCAAGUAAUUAAGUGCAUGUGGUGGAUGCCUUGGCAGUCAGAGGCGAUGAAAGACGUGAUAGCCUGCGAAAAGCUCCGGGGAGGCGGCAAAUAUCCUUUGAUCCGGAGAUGUCUGAAUGGGGGAACCCACCUACUUUAAGGUAGGUAUUGCAACAUGAAUACAUAGUGUUGCAAGGCGAACGAGGGGAAGUGAAACAUCUCAGUACCCUUAGGAAAAGAAAUCAAUUGAGAUUCCCUCAGUAGCGGCGAGCGAACGGGGAUCAGCCCAUUAAGUUAUGUGUGUUUUAGUGGAACGCUCUGGGGAGUGCGAACGUAGAGGGUGAUAUUCCCGUACACGAAAGGGCACACAUAAUGAUGACGAGUAGGGCGAGGCACGUGAAACCUUGUCUGAAUAUGGGGGGACCAUCCUCCAAGGCUAAAUACUCCUGACUGACCGAUAGUGAACCAGUACCGUGAGGGAAAGGCGAAAAGAACCCCUGUGAGGGGAGUGAAAUAGAUCCUGAAACCGCAUGCAUACAAGCAGUGGGAGCACCUUCGUGGUGUGACUGCGUACCUUUUGUAUAAUGGGUCAGCGACUUAUAUUCAGUAGCGAGGUUAACCGUAUAGGGGAGCCGUAGAGAAAUCGAGUCUUAAUAGGGCGUUUAGUUGCUGGGUAUAGACCCGAAACCAGGCGAUCUAUCCAUGAGCAGGUUGAAGGUUGGGUAACACUAACUGGAGGACCGAACCCACUGUCGUUGAAAAGCCAGGGGAUGACUUGUGGAUAGGGGUGAAAGGCUAAUCAAGCCUGGUGAUAGCUGGUUCUCCCCGAAAGCUAUUUAGGUAGCGCCUCGGACGAAUACCAUAGGGGGUAGAGCACUGUUUCGGCUAGGGGGUCAUCCCGACUUACCAAACCGAUGCAAACUCCGAAUACCUAUGAGUACUAUCCGGGAGACAGACUGCGGGUGCUAACGUCCGUAGUCAAGAGGAAAACAAUCCAGACCGCCAGCUAAGGCCCCAAAAUCAUAGUUAAGUGGGAAACGAUGUGGGAAGGCAUAGACAGCUAGGAGGUUGGCUUAGAAGCAGCCACCCUUUAAAGAAAGCGUAAUAGCUCACUAGUCGAGUCGGCCUGCGCGGAAGAUGUAACGGGGCUAAAACUAUGUGCCGAAGCUGCGGAUGUAUACUUUGUAUACGUGGUAGGGGAGCGUUCUGUAAGCCGAUGAAGGUGUGUUGAGAAGCAUGCUGGAGGUAUCAGAAGUGCGAAUGCUGACGUGAGUAACGACAAAACGGGUGAAAAACCCGUUCGCCGAAAGACCAAGGGUUCCAGUCCAACGUUAAUCGGGGCUGGGUGAGUCGACCCCUAAGGCGAGGCCGAAAGGCGUAGUCGAUGGGAAAAUGGUUAAUAUUCCAUUACUUCUGUGUAAUGCGAUGAGAGGACGGAGAAGGCUAAAUCAGCCUGGCGUUGGUUGUCCAGGUGAAAGGAUGUAGGCAUGUAUCUUAGGCAAAUCCGGGGUACUCUAUGCUGAGAUCUGAUAGCAAGCUGUACUUGUACAGCGAAGUGGUUGAUGCCAUGCUUCCAGGAAAAGUCUCUAAGCUUCAGUUACACAGGAAUCGUACCCGAAACCGACACAGGUGGUCAGGUCGAGUAGACCAAGGCGCUUGAGAGAACUCUGCUGAAGGAACUAGGCAAAAUGGUACCGUAACUUCGGGAGAAGGUACGCUGUUGUUGGUGAUGGAACUCGCUUCCUGAGCUGACGACAGCCGCAGAAACCAGGCCGCUGCAACUGUUUAUUAAAAACAUAGCACUCUGCAAACACGAAAGUGGACGUAUAGGGUGUGAUGCCUGCCCGGUGCUGGAAGGUUAAUUGAUGGGGUUAGCGUAAGCGAAGCUCUUGAUCGAAGCCCCAGUAAACGGCGGCCGUAACUAUAACGGUCCUAAGGUAGCGAAAUUCCUUGUCGGGUAAGUUCCGACCUGCACGAAUGGCAUAAUGAUGGCGGCGCUGUCUCCAGCAGAGGCUCAGUGAAAUCGAAAUCGCUGUGAAGAUGCAGUGUACCCGCGGCUAGACGGAAAGACCCCGUGAACCUUUACUGCAGCUUGACACUGAACUUUGACCUUACUUGUGUAGGAUAGGUGGGAGGCUUUGAAGCUGGAACGCUAGUUCCAGUGGAGCCGUCCUUGAAAUACCACCCUGGUAAUGUUGAGGUUCUAACUCUGUCCCGUGAUCCGGGACGAGGACCGUGUCUGGUGGGUAGUUUGACUGGGGCGGUCUCCUCCUAAAGAGUAACGGAGGAGUACGAAGGUGCGCUCAGCGUGGUCGGAAAUCACGCGUAGAGUAUAAAGGCAAAAGCGCGCUUAACUGCGAGACCCACAAGUCGAGCAGGUACGAAAGUAGGUCUUAGUGAUCCGGUGGUUCUGUAUGGAAGGGCCAUCGCUCAACGGAUAAAAGGUACUCUGGGGAUAACAGGCUGAUACCGCCCAAGAGUUCAUAUCGACGGCGGUGUUUGGCACCUCGAUGUCGGCUCAUCUCAUCCUGGGGCUGAAGCAGGUCCCAAGGGUAUGGCUGUUCGCCAUUUAAAGAGGUACGCGAGCUGGGUUUAGAACGUCGUGAGACAGUUCGGUCCCUAUCUACCGUGGGCGCUGGAAAUUUGAGAGGAUCUGCUCCUAGUACGAGAGGACCAGAGUGGACGAACCUCUGGUGUACCGGUUGUGACGCCAGUCGCAUCGCCGGGUAGCUAUGUUCGGAAGGGAUAACCGCUGAAAGCAUCUAAGCGGGAAGCCUACCUCAAGAUAAGAUUUCCCUAGGACUUUAUGUCCUCUAAAGAGCCGUUCGAGACUAGGACGUUGAUAGGUUGGAUGUGGAAGCAUAGUGAUAUGUGAAGCUGACCAAUACUAAUUGCUCGUGAGGCUUGACUAU
rnacentral:rRNA from 1 species